GACGUAGGGGGCCAGCGUUGUUCGGAUUCAUUGGGCGUAAAGGGUGUGUAGGUGGCGCCGUAAGUCGGGUGUGAAAUUUCGGAGCUUAACUCCGAAACUGCAUUCGAUACUGCGGUGCUUGAGGACUGGAGAGGAGACUGGAAUUCAUGGUGUAGCAGUGAAAUGCGUAGAGAUCAUGAGGAAGACCAGUGGCGAAGGCGGGUCUCUGGACAGUUCCUGACACUGAGACACGAAGGCCAGGGGAGCAAACGGG
rnacentral:rRNA from 1 species